UAUAAAUAAAGCUUCAAAUUUAACCUUCCUCUGCUUUCUUCAGCCUCACCAUGGCUAGCUAUCUACCUCUGCUGCUGCUCUUACGCCAUUCUGAAAUAUCAACGUUUUGUUCAGCUUGCAAUCAAGCAUAAAAAUUCCUCUCUUAUUUGUUCUUUACUCCUUUCAACUUUUGGGUACUGACCAUUUCUUUCAAACUCUUUAAUUAUUUGCAGGGAAUGUGAGCAUAGACUGUGGAUCUUCUGGUUCCUACAUCGACCUUAACUCUAUCCAGUGGACUGGAGAUGGUUCUUUCAUGCCCAAUGGCAAGAGUCAGGAUGUUCAAGUGGAACACAGCUACAGGCCAUUGCGCUUACUGAGAGUAUUCUUUGCAGGAAAAAGGAAUUGCUACACUAUCAAUGCAACCAAGGACGAAAAAGUUCUUCUUAGCGCAACCUUCUAUUACGGAAACUAUGACCAGGCCCCUACUUUUGAGCUGCAAACUGAUGGGAACUUCUGGACUACGGUGGAAACUGAAAUUGACCAAGAAGUUUUUCAUGAGGCGAUUUACUUUGCUAAAGGGUAUGCUAUAAGUGUAUGUGUAGCGCAGACGAAACCUGACCAGUUCCCCUUCAUGUAAGCACUUGAAGUGAGGAGUUUGGCUGCAGAAAUGUAUCCAAUUGACGAGUAUGAUCGAAUUUGGCAUCCACCAGAACCUUUAAAUGAUCGUGUGAUAAUUACUUGAAUAGAAGAUUCUAUUGUUUUCAACACAAGUGAUCAUCUUCCCAAAGCUGUCUUGCUUGGUGCGGUUACCCGUAACACCAGUGAUCACCUCCGAAAGCUCUCACUUGCUUGGUGCUGUUAGUGCUGGUGCCCCUAUAAUGGACUUUGGAUUCCCUUGGCUACCAACAAAUGAAGUUCCCAUAUACGUGAACAUGUACUUUGCUGAAGCGGAUAAGGAAGCAGACUACUCUCCUCUCCUAAAGAGAUCUUUUGUAGUCUCUAAGGACAGUGCCUUGCUUCUUACCUCUGAACCUGUUGUCCCAAGCCUUGGUUCUUACCUCUGAACCUGUUGUCCCACAUUACAACAGCGUUACUGAAUUGAGAUUUCCAAACAUCACUGCUUCGAACGCAACUGUGUUUUGGUUACUUCCUACCAAUGGUCUCCAUCCGAUCCUAAACGCCUAGGAACUUUUUGUUGUUAGUGAUCUAUUAACUGGAACAUCUGUGGAGGGGCUAGCUGCUUUGCAAGGAGGUUUCAGUAUAUUACAGGAAUGGAAGAGUGACCCAUGUCUUCCAGUAAAAUAUGCAUGGGAUGCUCAAUUGCAGUAUUGAUAUUUCGCCUCGAGUAAUUGCAGUCUAAAUCUUCUAUCUAUUCCAUUUCUGUGCAUAUGAGAUAGGAGUUUGAUCAAAUUGCCAGUAUAUUUACUUCCGCAUGACUUUGGCAAUUAAAAUUUUCCAGGAAUCUUAGAGGAGAUUUACAGAACAACAGCUUGAGUGGAACUAUUCCAGAAUUCCUUGGCUUGCUACCUAAUCUGAAAGAAUUGAAUUUGGCAGGCAACAAUUUUAGUGCUGGAUCUCUUUUGAAUAAAAAUACAAGCUUCAGGUAGGAUCUUUUAUUGAUUGAAAUCACCAUAUACUAAGCAAAAGAUUAAAUCGAGUUUUGGAGUUCUUAUUUUGAUUAUUUGUAUCUAUUUUUAACUGGCAACACAAAUUUGGGAAUCCCUCCCACGGUGGCAAGCACAGAAACACCCUACAGACGAUAUCUGGAGCCUUGCUUUCAUUUUUCACUAUAUCCUGGGUGCAUAUAUGAACUUAAGAUUUCCUUUUUUGGCCCCUGGAGAUCUACAAUGUUGGACAUGAUAUGCGAGCAGAUGUGUCCAUUUUUAAAGUGCUAGGAAAUUUGCUUGAAAUGAAAUGUAUAUGGUGUUCCAUCUAGAUUUGCAGAAUGGGAGAGGAAAUUCUUGCUUAAGUCAGAUUUACUAUGAAUUUAAGAUAUAAAAUAUGUAAAAUCUAUGUAUUUAACAGGUGAGUCCAUCAUAUCUCCUCUCGUGUUUUGAGUCCAUUCUAAACCAGAUCUAAACAAAAAAAAUCUAAAUGGAAGACAAUUGCCUUUAUUUUAUUUUUA